GUCUACGGCCAUGCCACUCUGAACAAGCCCGAUCCCGUCUGAUCUCGGAAGCUAAGCAGGGUCGUGCCUGGUUAGUACUUGGAUGGGAGGCCACCUGGGAAGACCAGGUACUGUAGGUG
rnacentral:rRNA from 1 species